UGAACGCUGGCGGUAGGCCUACCACAUGCAAGUCGAACGGCAGCACAGUAAGAGCUUGCUCUUACGGGUGGCGAGUGGCGGACGAGUGAGGAAUACAUCGGAAUCUACUUUUUCGUGGGGGAUAACGUAGGGAAACUUACGCUAAUACCGCAUACGACCUACGGGUGAAAGCAGGGGAUCUUCGGACCUUGCGCGAUUGAAUGAGCCGAUGUCGGAUUAGCUAGUUGGCGGGGUAAAGGCCCACCAAGGCGACGAUCCGUAGCUGGUCUGAGAGGAUGAUCAGCCACACUGGAACUGAGACACGGUCCAGACUCCUACGGGAGGCAGCAGUGGGGAAUAUUGGACAAUGGGCGCAAGCCUGAUCCAGCCAUACCGCGUGGGUGAAGAAGGCCUUCGGGUUGUAAAGCCCUUUUGUUGGGAAAGAAAAGCAGCAGGUUAAUACCCCGCUGUUCUGACGGUACCCAAAGAAUAAGCACCGGCUAACUUCGUG
rnacentral:rRNA from 1 species